CCGUGUUUCUUGACAUACACCGACGACCUGGAGAAGCGCUCCCUCGUACAUACGAACGUACCUGUAUUACGGCUGCAUUCUCUGGUUCCCGCCCAACUCAACCCCACCCUUUUCCAUCCUACAUAGGAUACAGUACAAGUACAGCAUGUGUGUAACCUGCAUCCUUCGCCAUCCUUGACCACGUCUUUUUCCGUCCUACCGCAUUCCUAUUCAACCAUCGUGCCGCGGAGGAAGAAGAAGACGAAGAAGGUGAAGAGGAAGAAAAGUCGUAAAGGUGGCGGUGGUGGAUCAGCGUCCACUGCACACACACCAUACACAGAAACACGGAAGCGACGUGAAACCACGCAGAUCUCAAGGUUGAUAAUGGUUGCAAACUGCUACAAAUAAUCUGCAUAUGCAUACCAUGAGAUUCACGUAUUUUCUCCAGCGAAAGUAAUUUGGCAUAGUCUUGGGCCGCGGACGGUAUAAUCAUUUAUAAACUGACGGCCACAAAACGAGGGCGUCAAAAAAGGUAAAAUCAAUUUAUGCCAACGCUAUAUCAGAGCAAUUCUUCUUACGCAAAAACGGAAAAUUUCUUCGUAGUUUCGUCGUAUCUCCUCAGCUGUUGGUCCUACGAUCUUCAAAAGGCUUUGGUUAAUUCCUUGGGGGCCCGAUAGUCUGGUUUUAAUCGAUUUAAAGGAUUAUUUCCAUUGAAUUUG